GAUCAUGGCUCAGGACGAACGCUGGCGGCGCGCCUAACACAUGCAAGUCGAACGAGAGAGAGGAAGCUUGCUUCCUCAAUCGAGUGGCGAACGGGUGAGUAACGCGUGAGGAACCUGCCUCAAAGAGGGGGACAACAGUUGGAAACGACUGCUAAUACCGCAUAAGCCCACGACCCGGCAUCGGGUUGAGGGAAAAGGAGCAAUCCGCUUCGAGAUGGCCUCGCGUCCGACUAGCUAGUUGG
rnacentral:rRNA from 1 species